rnacentral:rRNA from 1 species
UACGAAGGGGGCUAGCGUUGCUCGGAUUUACUGGGCGUAAAGGGCGCGUAGGCGGAUGUUUAAGUCGGGGGUGAAAGCCCGGGGCUCAACCUCGGAAUUGCCUUCGAUACUGGACAUCUUGAGUACGGGAGAGGUGAGUGGAACUCCGAGUGUAGAGUUGAAAUUCGUAGAUAUUCGGAAGAACACCAGUGGCGAAGGCGACUCACUGGCCCGUUACUGACGCUGAGGCGCGAAAGCGUGGGGAGCAAACAGG